UGGGGAAUAUUGGACAAUGGAGGAAACUCUGAUCCAGCAAUUCUGUGUGUGUGAAGAAGGUUUUAGGACUGUAAAACACUUUUAGUAGGGAAGAAAAAAAUGACGGUACCUACAGAAGAAGCAACGGCUAAAUACGUGCCAGCAGCCGCGGUAAUACGUAUGUUGCGAGCGUUAUCCGGAAUUAUUGGGCUUAAAGGGCAUCUAGGCGGUAAGACAAGUUGAAGGUGAAAACCUGUGGCUCAACCAUAGGCUUGCCUACAAAACUGUUGAACUAGAGUACUGGAAAGGUGGGUGGAACUACACGAGUAGAGGUGAAAUUCGUAGAUAUGUGUAGGAAUGCCGAUGAUGAAGAUAACUCACUGGACAGAAAAUGACGCUGAAGUGCGAAAGCUAGGGGAGCAAACAGG
rnacentral:rRNA from 1 species